rnacentral:misc_RNA from 1 species
CACAAAUAAUACAGCAUAAGAUAAUGAACGUAAUUGGUAAGCCAAGCAUUGGGAUCUAAGGGCAUUUGUGGAGUAACUUAUCCUAGCUGGGUCCUAGUUUUCCAAACCCCCCGCCCCAAAAAGAAAGGAGGGGAAAAGAGAAGAAUACAAAAUCUUGCUAAAUUCUGCCUCAUUGAGUUCUGUUGAGACAUUUUGACUUGAGAAUGAAUUGAUGAUUUCAGUACAAUGAGAAAUGCAAUCAGUAAGUAUCUUCUUGUACCUCAACCUCCAGUCAACUGCUAAUUUCCACCGUUCAGCUGACCUUUUGGUCUUACUGCAUAGCAGCAACUCAGCACCAUUUUCUUUUUUCUGCAGACUACUGGCUUCCAAGAAAGCACAAGCCUCACUUUCUGAUCGACAAAGCAUCUCCCCCAGCUCCAUAG